GACGAACGCUGGCGGCGUGCUUAACACAUGCAAGUCGAACGGAAAGGCCCUGCUUUUGUGGGGUGCUCGAGUGGCGAACGGGUGAGUAACACGUGAGUAACCUGCCCUUUACUUUGGGAUAACUUCAGGAAACUGGGGCUAAUACCGGAUAGGAGCUCCUGCUGCAUGGUGGGGGUUGGAAAGUUUCGGCGGUUGGGGAUGGACUCGCGGCUGAUCAGCUUGUUGGUGGGGUAGUGGCUUACCAAGGCUUUGACGGGUAGCCGGCCGGAGAGGGUGACCGGCCACAUAGGGAAUGAGAUACGCGCCAGACGCAUACAGGAGGCAGCAGGGGGGAAUAUUGCACAGUGGGCGGAAGCCUGAUGCAGCAACGCCGCGUGCGGGAUGAAGGCCUUCGGGUUGUAAACCGCUUUCGCCUGUGACGAAGCGUGAGUGACGGUAAUGGGUAAAGAAGCACCGGCUAACUACGUG
rnacentral:rRNA from 1 species